rnacentral:rRNA from 1 species
UCAGGUGGCCAUAGCGGCGGGGUCACACCUCUUCCCAUCCCGAACAGAGAAGUUAAGCCCGCCAGCGCCGAUGGUACUGCAUGAGCGAUUGUGUGGGAGAGUAGGUCGCCGCCUGGU